ACACUGUGUUUAAAACUAGAGUGCACCAUGAGAGCUGAAGGUGAGAUGGUCGUCAGGCUGCAGACUGGGCACUGGGUUUGGCAUAUGUAGACCUGAUGAUGCCUCUGGGCGGUGAACACUCCAGCACCUUUGGAGAAUGGCAGAGGGGGGAGUUAGAAAGCCAAACACUGCAACAACUGCAAUGCAGAUGAGAGGCGUGCCUUCCCUGACUCCGGGCCCAGUGGACAGGAUGGCCGUGUGGCAUUCAAACCCACACUCCAGUUUCCCAAGCAAGUCCUAGCCUGAAGUGCGGCCAGUCAGCAGGGACGUUUGCCUGAGUUGACCUCCCUCUCCCUCUUUCUCACACUGCGCUAAGCUCCAUGUCUGGCAACCGAGCUGGGAAACAACCACAGUGUGUUUUCUCUCACACCCCACUCCACACCAGUGCAGUCGGUCAUCCACUGCUCAAGCUGAUCAAGUGCUUAAGGUGUGUGUGUGUGUGUGUGUGUGUGUGUGUGUGUGUGUGUGUGUGUGUGUGUGUGUUUGUGUGGCAGUAAUCUGUGUUUUAGUGUGUAAUCAUAAAAUUAAAGCUGUUUUUGUCUCAUUGUUAAUUUAAUUGUUUUAAUGUACUGGUGUGUGCAUGUUUGCCUCCCUCUCUCUCUCUCUCUUUCUGUCUCUCUCUCUAUCUCUCUCUUUCUGUCUCUCUCUGUGUCUCUCUCUCUGUCUCUGCGCAAGUGUGUGUGAGGUGUGGGGGCUCUACUUCUCCUUUUUUAUCAGGAUCGGUUCAGUGGGAAUGAGACAUUAGAGAGUAUAAAAUAUGACACAAUACUUUUGUGAAAUAAGUCACUUGUAAGGUCUAUGACUAUGAAAGACUAUAAAUCAGAAAAAAGGGAGAAGAUAGAUAUUUCACAAGCUGAUGUAACCUACAGAAACCCCCGAAGCUCACAGCUGGGGUAAAGAUAUUCACACACACCUGCACGCGCGCACACACACACACACACACACACACACACACACACACACACACACACACACACACACACAAACACACACACACACACACACACACACACACACACACACACUCACAUUCAUACACAGACCUGCGGUGAAUUUAAAACAAAUGGUAAUUCCAUUUGCACAUCCACAUGCUGAAUUAUGACCUCCCUGCUGAAAAUUCAUGACUUAGAAAUAUAUUUAGCCCAAAAAAGUAAUGCUUGCUUGUGUAACGUGGUUAAUAAUGCUUCAACUUGCCUUUGUACCAGAGAUGUAUAUACGUGUAUUUUGGUUUAAUGUUUUGUCACUUGUGCAUUGUGUUGUUGCCUUUAAGGGAAUAACGCACGUUAUGUUCUUCCCAGUUUAACAUCAAUUCUGUCAUGAUAUCAAUGUAUAAGCACCUAGAGGAGUUUAGACAUGGACAAAGACUUUUGUACAAUGGUAGAUUCAUAUUCAUUAUAUAUGUUCGAUGAACCAUUGCAUGUAGGCUAUGUUGCUAGCUAAGUAAGCCAACGAUCAAGCUAUGUGUGUGUGUGUGUGUGUGUGUGUGUGUGUGUGUGUGUGUGUGUGAGUGUGUGGUAACAGAAGUGUUUCUAUAGUUCUAAUAUCAUCAUUGCACAGGCUACAUGUUCCAGUGAUCACACUGUUUGUCUGUUAUGAGAAUAAACCAACUUAACUGGGG
ensembl:lncRNA